AGAGAGUGAGGGAAUGGUUUCAUCACUCUUUUCCUGCACGACUCAGACCUGAGAGAAAAGAAGAGGGAAUUGGCAGAAAUAGAAGGCGGCAGGGACGCUCUCUCACUUGUUCCCUGCAGUCAUGCCUGUAUGGAAUUUGGGAGUUUGCUGGACCAGGGGGGCUGCUUUGGGUACACUGGGAGCAGAAACCUGGGGUUCCAUCACCUGCCUCAUGGCGGGGCAUCGAGUCUGCUCUCAGCUCUCUUUCCUGAACACCAUUGCCACAUCUGUCUGUGCUGGUGACGAAAGAGAGAGAAGCCUCAACUGUCUCCUUUGUACUGCACUAGGCCAUUCCGCAACUCAAGCAGGAGAAAAACCCAGGAGUGGGGUGGCGUAGGCGGGGCCACCACAAGGAGCCCGUGCAUCAGGGGGCGCAGGCUGUUUCUGGAUCAUUCCACUGGGAAGGGGACAAAACCCAUCUUUUAUGACCCAUGUUCAGUUCUCAGUUGGAGUCAGGCUCUGAUGUCAGCACAACCCAUUAUUUUGGAGAGUUCUUUCCGGCCUGAAAGUGAUGCUUAUUGCUUUAUUCACAAUCUACUGGCAAGAACUCAGCCACGAGGCCACACAUGAUCUCAAGGGAUGCCAAAAAAACAUAAAUUUAAAAAAUACAUCACAUGUAAUGAAAUGAAGCCUAGCCACCUGCCCAGGAAGAAGAGGAAAUGGGAUCAAUUAUCAUUCACCAGUGCCACACUGUCCAAGCUGGCUUCACAGAAGCCUCAGUUGAGUCAGUGCCAGCCCUACUCUCCUCCCUGGUACUUAAUGGUCUGUCAACAGCAGUGAUGCAGAAGCAAGGGUGCUGGAAUGGAGACAGGAGUCCUAGUGCUGACUGCCACUGGCUGUAUGACUCUGGGAGGAAAAUGCCAUGUGGAGACAGACACACAGGGAGAAGAACUCCAUGUGACGCAGAGGCAGAGCGUGGAGAGAUGCAGGCGGAAGGAGUGCCAAGGAUUGCUGGCCACCACCAGAGGCUGGGAAGAUGCAAGGAAGGAUUCUACCCAGAGUCUCAGACAGAGCAUGUCCCUGUGGAAACCUUGAUUUCAGACUUCUGGCCCCCAGAACUGUGAGAGAAUAAAUUUCUGUUGUUUAAGCCAUC
rnacentral:lncRNA from 10 species